rnacentral:sRNA from 1 species
AACCCCCGGCCGUGGAGAACGGAAAGUGGCCUCGACCGUGCUGCCGAGUGAGACCGCGAGGCUGGUGCUUCGCACAGGCGGCCCCGCGCUUCCUCCCCACCCUGUGGGAGGAGAGAGUGUGUGCCCGGUUUCCCCGUUCCACCUCCCCUGGUCCGACGAGCGAUAGGGGCAGGUGGGCGGGGGCGGCUGGUCGCCUGGAAGGGAGUCGCCGCCACGCACCGGCCGCCCGCCGCUCUCCGGGCCCUGGCGCGGGGCUGCGGCCUCCGGGUAAAAUAGAACUGCACGGGAAACCCAUAGAAGUUGAGCACUCGGUCCCAAAAAGGCAAAGGAUUCGGAAACUUCAGAUACGAAAUAUCCCGCCUCAUUUACAGUGGGAGAUAACCUUUGGUUGAAUUGAGACUGAACAGGACUUUACCCUCUUAAAAGAAAUGCGUGUUCAAUUUUUCCAUGUGACUCAGCACUAGAGAUGUUCACCCAAAAUGACGGUGCUGGAUAGUUUACUAGUCCAGUAUGGAGUGGUGGAGAGCUGUGAGCAAGUGAACACUGACUCGGAAACUGCAGUUGUAAAUGUAACCUAUUCCAGUAAGGACCAAGCUAGACAAGCACUAGACAAACUGAAUGGAUUUCAGUUAGAGAAUUUCACCUUGAAAGUAGCCUAUAUCCCUGAUGAAAUGGCCGCCCAGCAAAACCCCUUGCAGCAGCCCCGAGGUCGCCGGGGGCUUGGGCAGAGGGGCUCCUCAAGGCAGGGGUCUCCAGGAUCCGUAUCCAAGCAGAAACCAUGUGAUUUGCCUCUGCGCCUGC